rnacentral:misc_RNA from 1 species
GAUGAAGAACGCAGCGAAAUGCGAUAAGUAAUGUGAAUUGCAGAAUUCAGUGAAUCAUCGAAUCUUUGAACGCACCUUGCACCCUUUGGCAUUCCGAAGGGUAUGCUCGUUUGAGUGUCAUUGUACUCUCACACUCUCUGAUCCUUUGGAUUUGGGGAGCAGUGGACUUGGGUGCUUGCUGCUUCCUUGUGGCUCACCUGAAAUGCAUCAGUGCAUCUCUCGAUUGGACAUAGUACGGCGUGAUAAGUGUCUUCGCCGGCACCUCAUAUGAGGGUGGCCGAUCGGGAGCUCUGUGCUUUCAAACCGUCUUCGGACAACGCUGACAACUUGACCUCAAAUCGAGUAGGACUACCCGCUGAACUUAAGCAUAUCAAUAAGCGGAGGA